GAGUUGGUAUCUCAGUGGUAGAGUGCAUGCUCUGUAUGUAUGAUGUCCUGGCUUUGAUCCCAGGCUUCUCU